rnacentral:rRNA from 1 species
GACGAACGCUGGCGGCGUGCCUAAUACAUGCAAGUCGAACGCACUCUCGUUUAGAUUGAAGGAGCUUGCUCCUGAUUGAUAAACAUUUGAGUGAGUGGCGGACGGGUGAGUAACACGUGGGUAACCUGCCCUAAAGUGGGGGAUAACAUUUGGAAACAGAUGCUAAUACCGCAUAAAACCUAAACACCGCAUGGUGUAGGGUUGAAAGAUGGUUUCGGCUAUCACUUUAGGAUGGACCCGCGGUGCAUUAGUUAGUUGGUGAGGUAAAGGCUCACCAAGACCGUGAUGCAUAGCCGACCUGAGAGGGUAAUCGGCCACACUGGGACUGAGACACGGCCCAGACUCCUACGGGAGGCAGCAGUAGGGAAUCUUCCACAAUAGGACGAAAGUCUGAUGGAG